GUGCGCACUUCGGCAGCACAUAUACUAAAGUUGGAAUGAUACAGAGAUUAGCAUGGCCCUUGUGCAAGGAUGACGCGCAAAUUUGUGAAGCGUUCCAUAUUAAA